GAAUCUAGCUCUAGGUCGGGGACAACCACUGGAAACGGUGGCUAAUACCGGAUGUGCCGAAAGGUGAAAGAUUUAUUGCCUAGAGAUGAGCUCGCGUCUGAUUAGCUAGUUGGUGUGGUAAGAGCGCACCAAGGCGACGAUCAGUAGCUGGUCUGAGAGGAUGAUCAGCCACACUGGGACUGAGACACGGCCCAGACUCCUACGGGAGGCAGCAGUGGGGAAUUUUCCGCAAUGGGCGAAAGCCUGACGGAGCAAUACCGCGUGAGGGAGGAAGGCUCUUGGGUUGUAAACCUCUUUUCUCAGGGAAUAAGAAAGUGAAGGUACCUGAGGAAUAAGCAUCGGCUAACUCCGUGCCAGCAGCCGCGGUAAUACGGAGGAUGCAAGCGUUAUCCGGAAUGAUUGGGCGUAAAGCGUCCGCAGGUGGCACUGUAAGUCUGCUGUUAAAGAGCAAGGCUCAACCUUGUAAAGGCAGUGGAAACUACAGAGCUAGAGUACGUUCGGGGCAGAGGGAAUUCCUGGUGUAGCGGUGAAAUGCGUAGAGAUCAGGAAGAACACCGGUGGCGAAAGCGCUCUGCUAGGCCGUAACUGACACUGAGGGACGAAAGCUAGGGGAGCGAAUGGGAUUAGAUACCCCGAAAGUUGAA
rnacentral:rRNA from 1 species